rfam:Thaumarchaeota archaeon 13_1_20CM_2_39_20 13_1_20cm_2_scaffold_4095, whole genome shotgun sequence.
GCCGCCCUAGCUCAGCGUGGUAGAGCAGCUGACUGUUAAUCAGCGGGUCGUCAGUCCAAGUCUGACGGGCGGCG